AGCUGCCAUUGGUACAGAUCUUGGUGGUAGUAGCAAAUAAUCGAAUGAGACCUUGGAGGACUGAAGUGGAGAAGGGUUUCGUGUGAACAGUGGUUGAUCACGAGUUAGUCGGUCCUAAGUUCAAGGCGAAAGCCGAAAAUUUUCAAGUAAAACAAAAAUGCCUAACUAUAUAAACAAAGCGAAUAUAAUACACUUGAAUAAUUUUGAACGAAAGGGAAUACGGUUCCAAUUCCGUAACCUGUUGAGUAUCCGUUUGUUAUUAAAUAUGGGCCUCGUGCUCAUCCUGGCAACAGGAACGACCAUAAAGAAGCCGUCGAGAGAUAUCGGAAGAGUUUUCUUUUCUGUUUUAUAGCCGUACUACCAUGGAAGUCUUUCGCAGAGAGAUAUGGUAGAUGGGCUAGAAGAGCAUGACAUAUACUGUUGUGUCGAUAUUUUCUCCUCGGACCUUGAAAAUUUAUGGUGGGGACACGCAAACUUCUCAACAGGCCGUACCAAUAUCCGCAGCUGGUCUCCAAGGUGAAGAGUCUCUAGUCGAUAGAAUAAUGUAGGUAAGGGAAGUCGGCAAAUUAGAUCCGUAACUUCGGGAUAAGGAUUGGCUCUGAAGAUUGAGAUAGUCGGGCUUGAUUGGGAAACAAUAACAUGGUUUAUGUGCUCGUUCUGGGUAAAUAGAGUUUCUAGCAUUUAUGUUAGUUACUUGUUCCCCGGAUAGUUUAGUUACGUAGCCAAUUGUGGAACUUUCUUGCUAAAAUUUUUAAGAAUACUAUUGGGUUAAACCAUUAGUCUUAUCAAUUAUAACGAUUAUCAAUUAACAAUCAAUUCAGAACUGGCACGGACUUGGGGAAUCCGACUGUCUAAUUAAAACAAAGCAUUGUGAUGGCCCUAGCGGGUGUUGACACAAUGUGAUUUCUGCCCAGUGCUCUGAAUGUCAAAGUGAAGAAAUUCAAGUAAGCGCGGGUCAACGGCGGGAGUAACUAUGACUCUCUUAAGGUAGCCAAAUGCCUCGUCAUCUAAUUAGUGACGCGCAUGAAUGGAUUAACGAGAUUCCUACUGUCCCUAUCUACUAUCUAGCGAAACCACAGCCAAGGGAACGGGCUUGGAAUAAUUAGCGGGGAAAGAAGACCCUUUUGAGCUUGACUCUAAUCUGGCAGUGUAAGGAGACAUAAGAGGUGUAGAAUAAGUGGGAGAUAUUAGACCUCGGUUUGGUAUCGUCAAUGAAAUACCACUACUCUUAUUGUUUCCUUACUUACUUGAUUAAAUGGAACGUGUAUCAUUUCCUAGCCAUUAUACGGAUAUAUUUAUUAUAUCUUAUGGUAUUGGGUUUUGAUGCAAGCUUCUUGAUCAAAGUAUCACGAGUUUGUUAUAUAAUCGCAAACAAAUUCUUUAAUAAAACGAUGCAUUUAUGUAUUUUUGAUUUGAAAAUUUGGUAUAACUCCAAUUACUCAGGUAUGAUCCAAUUCAAGGACAUUGCCAGGUAGGGAGUUUGACUGGGGCGGUACAUCUCUCAAAUAAUAACGGAGGUGUCCCA
rnacentral:ncRNA from 1 species